CCCACCAUCCCCCACAUGGGAAAUGGCAGGCGGCGUGCCGCAGGGGUUAACUUCUGAAAACGGUUCAAAUUCGGCUAUCGAGAACGAGAAGGUGGCGAGGCAUCCAGCUUCCGAACGUGCCUGAGUUAAGCAGCACAGUGUAGGAGCAGUCAGCGUUGCAGAGAGAGGCCAUUCUAUGAUUCAAUGACUUCCUGGUCAUUCUGGAGCAUCAGCAGCUGUACCUGGAUAUGAAUUGCACUGUGAUACAGGGAGAAACUGGAGCUGCCUCAUCAGUGCCAUUUCCAUGUUGUCUGAUCUCAGGAGAAGGACAGCAUGGAUGAAUUUGUGCAACAACCCUUCCAGCCAUAGAAGAUUAUAUCUUACAAGAAAAUCCACUGGUGACCUGUAAGCUUCACUGGCCAUUCCUCACCCACAGUGUACUGGAACAAAAUGAGGCUUGGAUUCUGAAGAAAGGAGCCAGAAUAAGAUGCUAGAACUCUUUCCAGAAGUUCCCCAACAGAGAUGGAUGUCUGCUCUCCUGGGAGAAUAUCCCUCACAUCCCACUAAAUGCUCCUGACACUUGAUUGUACAAUCAAUGAAUAUACAGAUGAAAUAGUACAUUGGAGAUCUUGGCUCCUUCCCUCUCAGUGCUACCCAUGGGCCCAUCAGCUACAUGCUUCUCCUUUGACCUUUAUUUCCUAAAUUAAGAAUUCACAAGGAGGAGAAGAAUGUGCCGAUACCACUUUCGAUGUGCUGCCAGCACACCUGAAAUGGACUGGUUGUACUGUUAGAAAAACAUCGGCAUCUGAACAGCACUGCAAAGAGAUUAAAUACAUGGGAGGAUUGUGAGCAGUACAGGAGAGACGGGCUGCUAUUGAUAAGCCCAAAUCAGUGUUUGUUUGUUCCCCAGGACUCCCAGUAUCAAAACUGCCAUUUGUAGAAUCUCAGCUUGCUGUUGUGUGUUCCUGGUACCUGACCUUCUCGGUCUGGUUGUGCAUUUGUUAGCCUGUGACCUUCCCACAGCAUGUACCAGACACUGAGCAGGGGAGGGAGAAGGAAGAGCAGAGGAAGACAGGUGGAGAAACAGUUUUAUUUUUUAUUUUCAUUUUACACAAGGUCUAGGGAAAAGGACACUGGCAGAGGCCAAAUGAUAUCUGAACACCACUGUGCUAACAUGGCAGCUUUGUGGGAGGGCAGUAUUUGAGUCAGAUUGAGGCCUGAUUCUCCCUAUCUUUGGUUCAAGACGAAGGUAAAAACUGUUUAAAAACUGGUAGACAGCAGACCUGAAACCAGCCCUUGCCCUGUGAGUGUGUGGCAUGAUGAUAUAGCUAAAAAAUAGAACAUUUUUGUAUGAAGUGAGGGCAGAAGAGGAAGGAGGAGUGAACCUCAUGCAGUUCAAUGCUCUCUGCAGUCUGUAGGGGUGAUACCCUCGCAGUCCCACUGUCAGCACUGCAACAGAGCAGGCACAUGGGCUCCAUACUGCAGUGCAGCAUCUGUGCUCAGAAGUGGAUUAUGCAGCUGUUGCAUUCUUCCACCAUCAUUUGUGCUGCUUUGCCUCCUUCCUCUCCCCCCUUACAUCUGCCUGCAGCCAUCACAGAUUGUUCUUCUCUCCUUCCCACUCUCUAAGUUGUGUCCUGUCCCCUUUCCACCCCCAUUUCCCAAAGCAUCCUCUGGCAGCAGCUGCCAUGGGCACCUUUUGUGGCCUAGGGAGGGGAGAGGUGGGAAACAGGGAAGGCAGGUCCCAGCCUGUCACCUAAGUUGGGACAACAGUCAGAACCAGCAGAGUUCAACCUCAAAAACAGGAGUUACUGAGUCAAGUUAGUGAAAACAAGGCACACAGAACCAGGGAGGGCCAUUACAGUUCAAGGCAACCUACACACAUGCCUUUUCCUAGGCUGCUCUGGUAGCACAGUACAGCUGGAGCCAAAGGAAAUUCUGCAGCUGAUUUCACUAACAGGAUAAAAUCAGUCCCAUUGGCACAGGCAGAAUUCAGCCCUGAAGGUAUAUGAAUAAUAUUUCUCCAGCCAGCACAUGAUACUGCUGCUUGUGUUAUCCUCCUUUCAGUAAGAGACCGGGAGGGCCUCUUGGACUAUCCAGUGGUUCGUGGUGUUCAGGAUACACCAUGACACCCACUUAAUGAAGGAGGAGGAACAGGAUAUGCUGUGACACAGACAAUAAAUCAUUGCUCCCAUCCCAGCUGGAAAGCAGGCAGUGGUCCCAGCCUGUUCAUCCAGUCCAACAGUUGGCACACUUUGUUGACUUCCUUUCUGGAAAUUAACAUAACCACGCUACAAACGCGGAGCCGCAUGGAGCACGAGCAGCUCAUCACAGUCUUACUGUGGGGAAACAAGACGAUCAGCUCCUGUGGACACUGAGCUCUGCUGCCACGGGAGCACUGGCACGGGACGUAGGCAGCAGCAUGCAGGCUGUUUGCGGGUUGUUCCUUUGAGCCACCUGGAUAAUAAACUUUGGUCAACGCGUUACACGGUGCCCUUUGUAACCAAGGGAUGCCAGAUAACGUGUCGCCGGGGACUGACAUUCCCCAGGCGAUUAUGUGGAGCCGCUGGGAUGUGCAGGGCUGAGCAGCACCGAGCGCCCGCCAUCCCAGCACGGCUUCUCAGCGACCUGCUGGGUCAGGAAGGGCAGAGCCUCGGCGGGAACACGUGUGCCAGCACCGCGAUAGCGCUCCAUC